rnacentral:tRNA from 1 species
CUUUUAAAGGAUAAUAGCUAAUCCACUGGU